rnacentral:rRNA from 1 species
AUACGGAGGAUCCGAGCGUUAUCCGGAUUUAUUGGGUUUAAAGGGUGCGCAGGCGGCCAUUUAAGUCAGCGGUUAAAUCGUGGGGCUCAACCCCAUUCUGCCGUUGAUACUGGGUGGCUUGAUUGCGGUCGAGGUUGGCGGAAUUCGUUGUGUAGCGGUGAAAUGCAUAGAUAUGACGAAGAACACCGAUUGCGUAGGCAGCUGACCAGACCGCAAAUGACGCUCAUGCACGAAAGUGCUGGGAUCGAACAGGAUUAGAUGCCCUGGUAGUCCGCACAGUAAACGAUGAAUACUUGUUUUCGGCGAUAUAAUGUCGGAGGCAAAGCGAAAGCGAUAAGUAAUCCACCUGGGGAGUACGCCGGCAACGGUGAAGCUCAAAGGAAUUGACGGGG